UACGUAGGCAGCGAGCGUUGUUCGGAGUUACUGGGCGUAAAGCGUGCGUAGGCGGUGGUCCAAGUCUGGUGUGAAAUCUCCCGGCUCAACUGGGAGGGUGCGCCGGAAACUGGGCCGCUGGAGUACGGGAGAGGCAAGCGGAAUUCCUGGUGUAGCGGUGAAAUGCGUAGAUAUCAGGAGGAACACCCGUGGUGCAGACGGCUUGCUGGACCGUGACUGACGCCGAGGCACGAAAGCGUGGGUAGCAAACAGG
rnacentral:rRNA from 1 species